CUACAUAUCUACUCGGCAGGAGGGUCAUCUUCAGCAUCAGACUCGUCAUCCGAAGAGUCAAGGAUGGAGACAUCAAGCCCAGCAGCCAUCAACUUUGCCUUAGCCUUUUCCUGAUGAGUCUCAUACCCUUCACCAAAUUGGGCUAUGACCUUAUCGUUCAAGGCUUUCGAUUCCUCAUACUCGGCGAUGGCUUGCUGACUGGCUUCGAUUACCUUCUCGGGAAAGGCAUUGACAGUAGCAGUCAAGUUGUUGUUCUCCUUGAUCAAAAACAUCAUCUUGUCAUGCAUCUCGGAGAACUUCUGUGUAAUACUGUCAAUUGCGUUCUCCCGAUCCUUAACAUCUUGGAGCAGACGACCCCUCUCUGCCAGAAGAGCACUGUGCUCAUGCUCCAGCUCUUCGAUCCUGCCCUCCGCUCGGGCCGCUUGGCGUCGGGUCUCAGCAUGAGAAUCCCGUUCCUUUUUUAGGUCCGACUGCAGACCCCGAGCUUCAGCCUCCAGCAACUCCACCUCCGUCCCAAGCUGAACUUCUUUCUUUGUGGAUCGGGCGAGGGGAGGGAUGGCUCGGACAAGUAUAGCGUUGGCCUACAGUAAGAGCAGCAAUCAUAUUGACAAAGGGAAUUACCUAGGUCUGAGCUCGAACAUAGGCCACCAAGAAC
rnacentral:lncRNA from 1 species